rnacentral:rRNA from 1 species
UACGUAGGGUGCAAGCGUUAAUCGGAAUUACUGGGCGUAAAGCGCGCGUAGGCGGGUUUUCAAGUCGGUUGUGAAAUCCCUCAGCUCAACUGAGGAACUGCAUCCGAUACUGUCUGUCUUGAGGACGAGAGGGGAAAGUGGAACUUCUGGUGGAGCGGUGAAAUGCGUAGAGAUGUGGAGGAACACCGAUGGCGAAGGCAGCCUUCUGGGCCAACACUGACGCUCAUGCACGAAAGCGUGGGGAGCAAACAGG